UGGAGCUGGAGAGAUGUUAGACCAUUAAGAAGAGAAGAAAGAUCACCUAUUACAAUGCCUGACACUAAAGUUGCCACCCACUGCUGAUCACAGGAGUACUCCUCAACAAAUCUGCAACAUGGUAAUCUCCAGCUCCAUAUCUGCUUCCAGAGAACCCAACCUGUAGCAGUUGAUGGAAGGAAUGGCCCAAGAAAUUAGCCAUGGGGAUGGAAUUUUGGAGCUGGAUCAUUUGCCACCCAGCUAACAGUGAGGACUGCCAUCCUUGGUGUAGGAGGUGCAGCAUGAAGCAGUUGGGCUCUGACAAAGAGCCUUUUGGAAGCAAAGAUAAAUACACAAUGGACAAUGAACACCUUCUCAAUGGGUCUUUAUGCAUUCGCCUGUAAGUGUGGUUUUUAAUCAUCUGUCUUCACUGACCUUGUCAGUUGGACUAUGAGGAGAUUAAGAGCCAUAAAGCACAAAUUUUAGAAACUUCUUUAAAGGACAAACAAAAGUAAAAGUGAAAACCAGAGAAGUAAAGGAAGAAGGAAAAACCUUGCCUUCUGAGGGACAUGUGAUUUAAGCCAGGUCCUGGCAGAACAAAUCACCAGACA